GUGACUAUGGCCCUUUGCAGAACUGGGGGUUAAAUAUACUGUUUCUGCCUUUUGGACUUCUAACGGAACAGAUACGAACUUUCGAAGAGGCACUUCUGCUACAGUCGAAGUGUCGAAGUGGGCGCCAUUCGACAUUCGAACACGUGGCGGUGGCCAUUUUAUUUGGUCAAACAUGUUUAGCUGUGUUUUGUCAUCAGGUUCAUGGAACUCAAACCGGACAUGUGACAGCACAAACACCGCUGAACAGUUACCUUCCAGGGAACUUCGACUAUUCGAAUGGGAGUUGAAUGGCGUUCGGUAAGUCAAAGCACACGAACAAGGGACACACAUUGACUAUGUUCAUUCACCUGUACGUUCGGUAAUUCAAACGGUACUUCGAUGGUUUGAAAAAGACCAAUCGCACAGCCUAAUUCUCUGGAACUGUUU